rnacentral:misc_RNA from 1 species
GAUGAAGAACGUAGUGAAAUGCGAUACGUAAUGUGAAUUGCAGAAUUCAGUGAAUCAUCGAAUCUUUGAACGCAUAUUGCGCUCUCUGGUAUUCCGGAGAGCAUGCUUGUUUGAGUAUCAGUAAACACCUCAACUCCCUUUUCUUUUUUGAAAUUGGAGCUGGACUUGAGUGAUCCCAACGCUUUCUUCCAAGAAAGUGGCGGGUUGCUUGAAAUGCAGGUGCAGCUGAACUUUUCUCUGAGCUAUAAGCAUAUCUAUUUAGUCUGCCUAAAAAACAGAUUAUUACCUUUGCUGCAGCUAACAUAAAGGAGACUAGUUCUUGUGCUGACCGAUGCAGGAUUCACAGAGACAGCUUCGGCUGACUUUGUAAACUCGAUCUCAAAUCAAGUAAGACUACCCGCUGAACUUAAGCAUAUCAAUAAGCGGAGGA